rnacentral:tRNA from 1 species
GAGGGUGUAGCUCAGUGGUAGAGCGCGGGGUUUUGAUCCCUGAUGUCGCGGGUUCGAUUCCGGCCUCCCGCUCCA